AAAAAAAAAAAAAAAAGUGAAACAGAAAAAGGGGAGUUGCACAUAUUAAUUUGGUCAGACAAACUAUUGGGUGAUAUAAAAUUGAGAAGGAAUAAUAAAAUAACCCUCAAAAUUUAAAAUUGAUGAUGAGUGAAAUUAAGCAAGCAAUUACUCCACAUCAACCCAUAUAUCCUUACCAAAUAUGGUAAGGAUUCUCUCUGCCUUAACUCUAUAUCGCACGCCAUAAGCUUGGUUAAGCUCCAUGGAGAAGGUGACUCUAUCGUUCUCCCGGAGAUUCUUUUGCUCCACAUACCGACGCCAAUGGGCUCGGGACAGCACCGGUUUUCGAUAUCGAUCAAAUCGACGUGUGGAUAAACGAAAUUGACGUGCAUGAUUAUGUACAUCAAAUGCUUCAAAGACCAUAAAAUGGGAACCUUCAGGAAAAGGGAAAGCCGAAAGAACACGACUAGGAAAGUUCAGUGAACCUUUGAGAUCGUUUGGUGUGAGUAAGCGGGUGAAGAGAGGCACUACUAUUGGGUCCAUUUGCAACACACACUGAGGAAGAGAGAGGGGGUGGGGGAGUGGUGGGUGGGAAAGAGAACUGAAAUUUAUAGAAACCUAGAGCAAGGAUGCAGAUGCAUAAUGCCAGGUAAAUCAACAUCUGUCGUACACCUUGUUUAAUUGAAAAUUCAACCCAAAUCCAGAAAAAUAGAUAUGUAAAAUAAGUGUUGCAAUAUUUUUCUACAUGUCUUCCAUUGUCAUGCAAGGAGAGAAGCUAAAAUCAGCGUCGCCGUCUGUCUCCAUCAGAAUAUCACAGUCAAGCACUGAGCGAAGGAUUAUCGCUACAUAUACACACACACACACAUAUGUAUAUUACCCUAUAUUUUCUACGAGUUUAAGAGAGCACAUCUCAUAUUAUUUUUUUUUUUAAUUGAUUGCCAAGUAGCUAUGAGAAUUAAUCGAAGCCAUACUUACCGUGAUAUAGUUAGAACUUUGGGAGUUUUUACAUAUUAUUUCCUUCCAAAUGAACAUUAAAUGAGUUGAUAUAAUCGAGUGGCAAGUAUACAAAAGAUUAGCAUAAUAAUUAUCAAAUUAUCCGACUUGAAUUGGCAAUUAUAUAGACAUCAUAUAUUAUAUUUGUCAUAAUGAAGACAUGUUUGUCUAAAAAUUUAGUACCUACAAAAGUCAUUACCACCCAGAAAUAAAAUAUUGAUGCUUAAUUAAGAUCAUGUGGAUACUAACUAAUUGAUUUGAGAGUUGCAUCACUUUGAAAAGUCUAGCUAACUAUAGUCUUCGCGCAUGAUUAAUUGUUUCUUUUUAUCUUCUUCUUCUGUUAAUAUUUUCUUUUAUUUGCUAUUAUAGUCAACUCGUUCAGACAUGGUUUCUUUUCUUAUCUUACAAGAAAAUCAUAUACUCCAAGCAUGACGAACGAUUCCGAAACUCACAUGUUCAAACGAACGUAUUUUGAUUCAUCAUAUAAUUUCUUGUCAAAUUUUAAUUAUUUUUUUCAAUACAAUAGGUUAUAUACAUAGAUAUAUUAAUCAAUUACAUAAAUAUAUAUAGUCAUAAUGCACUGAGAUAUUAUGAAAGUUGAGAUAUUUUGUUCGAGUAAAAAAUUUAAAAUGGCAACCAAAAUACUUUUGAAUUAUGAAUUCCAAUAUAUAUAUAUUUUUUAAUUUGAAAAGAACGAUAAGGAUAUUUUAAA
rnacentral:misc_RNA from 1 species